rnacentral:tRNA from 1 species
GGGCCCGUGGCGUAGCUAGGAAGCGUGGCGGCCUGCGGAGCCGUUGAGCGCUGGUGCGCGCGGACGUCCCGGGUUCAAGUCCCGGCGGGCCCG